rnacentral:rRNA from 1 species
GACGAACGCUGGCGGCGGGCCUAACACAUGCAAGUCGAACGGAAAGGCCCUGCUUGUUUGUGGUGCUCGAGUGGCGAACGUGUGAGUUACACGGGAGUAACCUUCCCUUGACUUUGGGAUAACUUCAGGCAACUGGUGCUAAUACCUAAUACGUGCUCCUGCUGCAUGGUGGGGGUUGGAAAGUUUCGGCGGUUGGGAAUGGAGGUCCGGCUUAUCAGCUUGUUGGGUGGGUGGUGGCUUAUCCGGCGUUUGACGGGUGGCCGGCCUGAGAGGGUAACCGGCCACAUUGGGACUGAGAUACGCCCCAGAGUCCUACGGGAGGCAGCAGUGGGGAAUAUUGCACAAUGGGCGGAAGCCUGAUGAAGCAACGCCGCGUGCGGGAUGACGGCCUUCGGGUUGUAAACCGCUUUCGCCUGUGACGAAGCGUGAGUGACGGUACUGGGUAAAGAAGCACCGGCUAACUACGUG